rnacentral:rRNA from 1 species
AUUGAACGCUGGCGGCAUGCCUUACACAUGCAAGUCGAACGGCAGCACGGGUGCUUGCACCUGGUGGCGAGUGGCGAACGGGUGAGUAAUACAUCGGAACGUACCUUAUCGAGGGGGAUAACGCAGCGAAAGCUGUGAUAAUACCGCAAACGCACUAAGGGGGCAAGCGGGGGAUCGCAAGACCCCGCGCGAUUAGAGCGGCCGAUGCCUGAUUAGCUUGUUGGAAGGGGAAAAGCCCACCAAGGCGACGAUCAGUAGCUGGUCUGAGGGGACGAUCAGCCACACUGGGACUGAGACACGGCCCAGACUCCUACGGGAGGCAGCAGUGGGGAAUUUUGGACAAUGGGGGCAACCCUGAUCCAGCAAUGCCGCGUGAGUGAAGAAGGCCUUCGGGUUGUAAAGCUCUUUUGUCAGGGAAGAAACACCGGCUCUAACACAGUCCGGGAAUGACGGUACCUGAAGAAUAAGCACCGGCUAACUACGUGCCAGCCGCCGCCGUAA